CCAACGUAAUAGCUGUAGUGUAGUACUACUAACACGUACAAACUACACAGUACGACAAAUUUAUAGGGUUUAAGCUUCUCUCCUCUUUUCUGAAGAAUGAAAAUUACAGCAACAAAUUUGGGGGUAAACCGGCACGCGGGAAUUUCUUUGGAUCCAAGAAGAAGAGUUCGUUGUUCCUCACAGAGUUCAGAGCAUAAAAAAGAACCAUGUCUUCACCACCCACGCAGCAAAAAGAAGGGUCACCAACCUCGGCACCACCAAGUACAGAUACAACGCCUAAGAAGAAGAUUUGUUGUGCCUGCCCGGAGACUAAGAAGCUGAGAGAUGAGUGCAUCGUGCAGCAUGGUGAAGAUGCAUGCACCAAGUGGAUCGAAGCUCACAAAAUUUGUCUUCGUUCAGAGGGUUUUAAUGUUUAAAGUGAAGAAUAAGAAGCAGUAAAUGAUGCCUUUAUACACCAAUUUCACAUUUGUGCAGUAAUUUACUACGGUUUUCAGUUUUCAAUUGGAAGUUACAUUGAAUUGAUUUUGUUGAA